CAAAAAUUCGGAGACCAAGUAAGAAUUUAAGACACAGUAAAGACAAAGCAACUGGUCUCCAGAUUAUGCAGUCCAUUGUGAAAUGGCAUCACAUGGAGAAUAUAGCUACCUGCCUGUGGGAUGCGUACUCAGGCCUGUUGGGUGAUCAAGCCAUGA